CCUACGGGUGGCUGCAGUGAGGAAUAUUGGUCAAUGGCCGAGAGGCUGAACCAGCCAAGUCGCGUGAGGGAAGACGGCCCUACGGGUUGUAAACCUCUUUUGUCGGGGAGCAAAGCGAACCACGUGUGGUUCAUUGAGAGUACCCGAAGAAAAAGCAUCGGCUAACUCCGUGCCAGCAGCCCCGGUAAUACGGAGGAUGCGAGCGUUAUCCGGAUUUAGUGGGUUUAAAGGGUGCGCAGGCGGAGGUGCAAGUCAGCGGUAAAAUUGCGGGGCUCAACCCCGUACUGCCGUUGAAACUGCAUCCCUUGAGUGCGCGAGAAGUAGGCGGAAUGCGUGGUGUAGCGGUGAAAUGCAUAGAGAUCACGCAGAACUCCGAUUGCGAAGGCAGCAUACCGGCGCGCAACUGACGCUCAUGCACGAAAGCGUGGGUAUCGAACAGGAUUAGAUACCCCGGUAGUC
rnacentral:rRNA from 1 species